GAUGAACGCUGGUGGCGUGCUUAACACAUGCAAGUCGAACGAAGCACUGUUGAUAGAUUCUUCGGAUGAUAGAUACAGUGACUGAGUGGCGGACGGGUGAGUAACGCGUGGGUAACCUGCCUCAUACAGGGGGAUAACAGUUAGAAAUGACUGCUAAUACCGCAUAAGCGCACAGGACCGCAUGGUCUGGUGUGAAAAACUCCGGUGGUAUGAGAUGGACCCGCGUCUGAUUAGCUAGUUGGUGGGGUAACGGCCCACCAAGGCGACGAUCAGUAGCCGACCUGAGAGGGUGACCGGCCACAUUGGGACUGAGACUCGGCCCAAACUCCUACGGGAGGCAGCAGUGGGGAAUAUUGCACAAUGGGCGAAAGCCUGAUGCAGCGACGCCGCGUGAGCGAAGAAGUAUUUCGGUAUGUAAAGCUCUAUCAGCAGGGAAGAAAAUGACGGUACCUGACUAAGAAGCACCGGCUAAAUACGUGCCAGCAGCCGCGGUAAUAC
rnacentral:rRNA from 1 species